rnacentral:ncRNA from 1 species
GAGAUAGCUGAGAUAAGGACAGUAGUCCUCCGCCAGGUAGCAAGAGAGUUUCUGGUUGGUGUGAAGAAAUUACACGGCGGUUGACGAAUAUCACCUUUGAGCCGGGACUGUGACAUUAGCAGUUCCAGGGGGCGCCCUUUAUAGCGCUAACGUAUCGCCUGUCAACCUACCAGGAUGGGCCGCACGUGAUGAGAUGAGUUAUGGUCAGUAAUGUUGGCAUAACUUAAAAAUAGGUGGUACCGCUGAAAAGCCCUAUGG